rnacentral:tRNA from 1 species
GCCCUCUUAGCUCAGGGGAUAGAGCGUCUGCCUCCGGAGCAGAAGGUCGUAGGUUCGAAUCCUACAGAGGGCG